UGUGUACAUAUAGUAUGUAUAUUUACAGUACAGUAUGUUGUGUUUGUUGACAUAUUUUCAGGUGGAAGCAGAAUAUGUGAGGAUUACUACUGCUGCACAUGUUCCAAGGCUUUUUACACAACUUGACCAAUACACUGACCAGCUCAUAAAAGUCUUCAAGAAAAAAGGAGGCGUUGCAGGGAAGAAAAUUAGACAAACUUUGGCCCCAGCCACACAGAAGGAAAGUAUUGAAAAGGGGAGGGAGUGUGUCCUCAGGGCACUACCUUUUUACCUGAAUGAAGACCCAAGCAUCCUCUUCAAAGAAUAAUUGCUACAGCUGUUCAGAGGGAGCUGGAACAAAUUACCCUUGCUAUCUUUACCAUCGAAAGAGCUGAUGCCAGCACUCCUCCAGCCGAUGUGGGUAUAACCAUCUAGUGUGUCCUGCAUGACCUGGAAGACCUGGCCUCUGCAUGUGCACUCUUAAUGGGUGGGAUAUAUGCACUGAAUCUCAGUUAACCUCAAGACUGAAAGCUUUCUUUGAAGUACUUCAGAAGCUCUUCCUUCAUCUGUAUGUCAGCAGACUCUUGACCAAGGUACAGUUGCUCAAGAAUACACUGAAUGAAUAAGCCAACCUUUAAUUUGGAUGAUGAAUGUUCUGUCAGAUGGACAGAAGUUUUUCGGAGGCUGAAUGGGAAUAAAAUGGUAAUUUGUAAAUGACAGAUAACGGGAAAAUUACAUUUAAGAGAAAUUUAGAACAUUUUGAAAAGUUUGUAAACUACUACAAUUUGAGAGAUUUUACUGUUGUGGGGGGCUAGUAAGAGACAAUCAAAAGUAUUGAGAUUUAAAGGAUUUAAUUGAGAGAUGAUACUGCACCAGAAAUGUUGAAGGGUGGUGUGUAUAUUAGCGUUCAAGGCAUAUUGUUAUGAGGUGGAAAUAUGUUCAUAUUCAGUUUGUGUUACAUUGUGUGCAUUGUAAAGGUAAUUGCAAUACAUACUAAAAAUAAGGGUAAGUUAGGAGGUUGAUCUGAUAUCCUCGUGUUGGUGUUGUUCCC